UAAGCGGAGGAAAAGAAACUAACAAGGAUUCCCCUAGUAACUGCGAGUGNAGCGGGAAAAGCUCAAAUUUAAAAUCUGGUGGUCUUUGGCCAUCCGAGUUGUAAUCUAGAGAAGCGUCUUCCGCGCUGGACCGUGCACAAGUCUCCUGGAACGGAGCGUCGUAGAGAGUGAGAAUCCCGUCUUUGGCAUGGACACACCAGGGCUUUUGUGAUGCGCUCUCGAAGAGUCGAGUUGUUUGGGAAUGCAGCUCAAAAUGGGUGGUGAACUCCAUCUAAAGCUAAAUAUUGGCGAGAGACCGAUAGCGAACAAGUACCGUGAGGGAAAGAUGAAAAGCACUUUGGAAAGAGAGUGAAACAGUACGUGAAAUUGUUGAAAGGGAAACGCUUGAAGUCAGUCGCGUCGACCGAGACUCAGCCUCGCCUCGGCUUGGCGUACUUCUCGGCCCGACGGGUCAGCAUCAAUUUCGCCUCUUGGAUAAUGGCGAGGGAAACGUGACACCUUUACGGUGUGUUAUAGUCUCUCGUCGCAUGCAAGGGUCGGGAUUGAGGUACUCAGCACGCGCCUUUGGGCGUCGGGGCUUUGCCUACGAUACGUGCUUAGGAUGUUGGCGUAAUGGCUUUAAACGACC
rnacentral:rRNA from 1 species